rnacentral:rRNA from 1 species
AUGGAGAACGUGAUCUUUGAGGCUGGGCACGGACGUGCCUAUGACCCCGAGGAGACCCAAAGUCAGGAUGGCCGCGCCCAGUACGUCCCCGAUGAAGAGGCUGACGACCGUGCAGACUACGACCAUGGUGACUCGUGGCAUGAAGACGAUGACAUCUAUGUCGAAGGUGAUGGUGAAGAAGAAGAAGAAGGCAAUGACGUUGAUAUUAGUGACGCGCCAUUGUUCAUCGACGAGCUGACCCAAAGAGCGGAAGCACAAAAGAAGAGGAAGAGCAUUCGCACGGGUUCAUACACACAAGAUGAGGACAAGUUGAUUUGCCAAGCUUGGAUGGAGAUUAGCCAAGAUCCGAGGACCGGCGCGCUACAAAAGGGCAUUGUUUUUUGGACGAGAGUCCACAAAACAUUCCAUGAAAGGAAGAUGUUCGAGCCCUACCAAAUUACAAGCAACUAUGGCAUUGGCUCGAUUCAAAAGAGAUGGUUGUUCAUCCAACAAGAGUGCAAAAAGUAUCAAGCCGCAUUUGAGAGCGUUGAAGCACGGCCCGUGAGUGGUCUCGGUGUUGGGGACACGGUAUGCUCUCCUCUUCCUAGCCCUUUCCUUGCUACGGCCAUGAGACUUCGGCCUUGUAUAUGUUUGCAUGUUCACUUCUUGUUGAUCAUGUGUUGUAGGCAUUUCAAUCUUUGGAGGCAUUCAAGGCCGGCACAAUGA